CCACGUUAACAUCAUAACCCGAGAUUUAUUGGGUAUCAAAAACCCAACAAAUCUCCACCUUGAUGCCCAAUAAAUCUGCAAGCAAUCAAAACACACAGUUAACACUUGCAUAAUCAAGGUAGCCAAUAAAAUUGGAUCACAGACCUUACCUCAUGUUUCCAACUUGAAACACAUACCAUACCUGCUCCAUGUACUCACUGG
rnacentral:lncRNA from 1 species